rnacentral:rRNA from 1 species
AUGAUUGGAGGAGAAGACGAGGGGAGAAGGCGACGGCAGAGGCGGAAGAGUCAACGGAGUUCGCGGCCGUCGGUGGUGCUCGCCGAACCGGAGCAGCCUCGCUGGAGCGCCUACAGAUUGAAGGCGAUUUGGCGAUGCGCCGGCAUUGCCGCCGGCGGCGGAGUCCUAUGCUUGCCGUUUUCGGUGGCACUGGGCAGUUUCGUCGCCGCCGCAGUGGCUAUCUCGCCGGAGAAAAAGAAACGUACUCGCAACAGGGCCUCCCAGGAACGACUAACUUCAUUGACUGACAGAUUUACCGAUGAUCAGAAGGGAGCUACUGCUGAGAUGGGUAUGCAGGCUAUGAUGAAUGUCCGGUGCACGAAUCUAGUCAACCCUGUAUGUGACUGGCUUGGUGAGAUUUGCGACCCCUCCUCCAGGGAAUUUGCGAUUCCGGGACGUGGAAGACUGCCGUUGAACGAGGAAUCCGUGUUCUGCACUUUGGGUGUGCCCAGUGGACAAAUCAAAGUCCCAUAUGAGGUCAAUAACAAGAUCGAGGAAACGUUGUUCCCCCGUUUUCUUCCUGGGUUGUAA